CAAAGAAGCUGGUGGCCAUGUUUUUGGCAGCGUGGUCCCUGCUCACCUGGAAAAAUUCAGCAUGCCAUCAAGCCUCCUCCACAGUGUUCUGAAGAAAUUACUUCUAAGACAUAAAUGGAAAAGCAGAUGUAAAGUGCAAAUAAACUCCCACACAUGUGCCUAAUCUCUUCCUCCAAAAAAGAACAGAGAAAGGUUCAAGUGUUAUGGAGAAUAGGCACCCAUUUACAGAAGACAUCUGUGUUAAGUGUCCUUAUGUGGCCAUCCCAUGUGACAGAAUGCAAAACUACAGAGGGAAAGAACAAUUAGGGAUCCUGGAACAAGCCUUAGCAAUCCACCAGCAGAUCUCAGAGGCCCAUGAUCAAAUCCCACAAGCUGUCUUUGAUUCCUCUGUGUUCCUUUCUCCAAGUGCAACAUCAUUACCUUCAAAAUACAUUCCAGGUCAAGGUCUUGUCUGCCUCAGGGCACUGGUUGUUUAUUUCUGCAGGAAAACUCUUCCCCAGCAGGCUCAGUUCUCUUCUCAUCCUUCAAGCUUAGCUCAGAUGUCACCUGCUCAGAGAUUUUUCCAGACCUUCCUACCUAAAGUGUCAC